rnacentral:rRNA from 1 species
GACGAACGCUGGCGGCGUGCCUAAUACAUGCAAGUAGAACGCUGAAGAGAGGAGCUUGCUCUUCUUGGAUGAGUUGCGAACGGGUGAGUAACGCGUAGGUAACCUGCCUUGUAGCGGGGGAUAACUAUUGGAAACGAUAGCUAAUACCGCAUAACAAUGGAUGACACAUGUCAUUUAUUUGAAAGGGGCAAUUGUUCCACUACAAGAUGGACCUGCGUUGUAUUAGCUAGUAGGUGAGGUAAUGGCUCACCUAGGCGACGAUACAUAGCCGACCUGAGAGGGUGAUCGGCCACACUGGGACUGAGACACGGCCCAGACUCCUACGGGAGGCAGCAGUAGGGAAUCUUCGGCAAUGGGGGCAACCCUGACCGAGCAACGCCGCGGGAGUGAAGAAGGUUGUCGGAUCGUAAAGCUCUGUUGUAAGUCAAGAACGGGUGUGAGAGUGGAAAGUUCACACUGUGACGGUAGCUUACCAGAAAGGGACGGCUAACUACGUG